rnacentral:rRNA from 1 species
GCGUUACUCGGAAUUACUGGGCGUAAAGCGUGCGUAGGUGGUUAUUUAAGUCCGUUGUGAAAGCCCUGGGCUCAACCUGGGAACUGCAGUGGAUACUGGAUGACUAGAAUGUGGUAGAGGGUAGCGGAAUUCCUGGUGUAGCAGUGAAAUGCGUAGAGAUCAGGAGGAACAUCCAUGGCGAAGGCAGCUACCUGGACCAACAUUGACACUGAGGCACGAAAGCGUG